GGCGUAAAGCGAGUGUAGGUGGCUCAUUAAGUCACAUGUGAAAUCCCCGGGCUUAACCUGGGAACUGCAUGUGAUACUGGUGGUGCUAGAAUAUGUGAGAGGGAAGUAGAAUUCCAGGUGUAGCGGUGAAAUGCGUAGAGAUCUGGAGGAAUACCGAUGGCGAAGGCAGCUUCCUGGCAUAAUAUUGACACUGAGAUUCGAAAGCGUGGGUAGCAAACAGGAUUAGAUACCCUGGUAGUCCACGCCGUAAACGAUGUCUACUAGCCGUUGGGGUCCUUGAGACUUUAGUGGCGCAGUUAACGCGAUAAGUAGACCGCCUGGGGAGUACGGCCGCAAGGUUAAAACUCAAAUGAAUUGACGGGGGCCCGCACAAGCGGUGGAGCAUGUGGUUUAAUUCGAUGCAACGCGAAGAACCCUACCUGGUCUUGACAUAGCGAGAAUCUCUCAGAGAUGAGAGAGUGCCUUCGGGAACUCACAUACAGGUGCUGCAUGGCUGUCGUCAGCUCGUGUCGUGAGAUGUUGGGUUAAGUCCCGCAACGAGCGCAACCCUUUUCCUUAUUUGCCAGCGGGUUAAGCCGGGAACUUUAAGGAUACUGCCAGUGACAAACUGGAGGAAGGCGGGGACGACGUCAAGUCAUCAUGGCCCUUACGACCAGGGCUACACACGUGCUACAAUGGUAGGUACAGAGGGUUGCUACACAGCGAUGUGAUGCUAAUCUCAAAAAGCCUAUCGUAGUCCGGAUUGGAGUCUGCAACUCGACUCCAUGAAGUCGGAAUCGCUAGU
rnacentral:rRNA from 1 species